AGACGAAGGGAGCAAGCGUUAUUCGGAAUAACUGGGCGUAAAGAGCGUGUAGGCGGUUAAUUAAGUCGAUUGUUAAAUUCCCUGGCUUAACUAGGGAUCAGCGAUUGAUACUGAUUAGCUAGAGGGCAAGAGAGAGAAGUGGAAUUCUCGGAGUAGCGGUAAAAUGCAUAGAUCUCGAGAGGAACACCGGUUGCGAAGGCGGCUUCUUGGCUUGUACCUGACGCUAAAGCGCGAAAGCGUGGGGAGC
rnacentral:rRNA from 1 species